rnacentral:rRNA from 1 species
CCUACGGGGAGCAGCAGUGGGGAAUAUUGGACAAUGGGCGAAAGCCUGAUCCAGCCAUGCCGCGUGUGUGAAGAAGGCCUUCGGGUUGUAAAGCACUUUCAGUGGGGAAGAAAGCCUUGGGGCUAAUACCCUCGAGGAAGGACAUCACCCACAGAAGAAGCACCGGCUAACUCCGUGCCAGCAGCCGCGGUAAUACGGAGGGUGCGAGCGUUAAUCGGAAUUACUGGGCGUAAAGCGCGCGUAGGCGGUCUGAUAAGCCGGUUGUGAAAGCCCCGGGCUCAACCUGGGAACGGCAUCCGGAACUGUCAGGCUAGAGUGCAGGAGAGGAAGGUAGAAUUCCCGGUGUAGCGGUGGAAUGCGUAGAGAUCGGGAGGAAUACCAGUGGCGAAGGCGGCCUUCUGGACUGACACUGACGCUGAGGUGCGAAAGCGUGGGUAGCAAACAGGAUUAGAUACCCCAGUAGUC